CCUUUUCUUCCGCACGGUUGGAGGAGGUCGGCUGGUUAUCGGGAGUUGGAGGGCUGAGGUCGGGAGGGUGGUGUGUACAGAGCUCUAGGACACCAGGCCAGUCGCGGGUUUUGGGCCGAGGCCUGGGUUACAAGCAGCAAGUGCGCGGUUGGGGCCACUGCGAGGCCGUUUUAGAAAACUGUUUAAAACAAAGAGCAAUUGAUGGAUAAAUCAGGAAUAGAUUCUCUUGACCAUGUGACAUCUGAUGCUGUGGAACUUGCAAAUCGAAGUGAUAACUCUUCUGAUAGCAGCUUAUUUAAAACUCAGUGUAUCCCUUACUCACCUAAAGGGGAGAAAAGAAACCCCAUUCGAAAAUUUGUUCGUACACCUGAAAGUGUUCACGCAAGUGAUUCAUCAAGUGACUCAUCUUUUGAACCAAUACCAUUGACUAUAAAAGCUAUUUUUGAAAGAUUCAAGAACAGGAAAAAGAGAUAUAAAAAAAAGAAAAAGAGGAGGUACCAGCCAACAGGAAGACCACGGGGAAGACCAGAAGGAAGGAGAAAUCCUAUAUACUCACUAAUAGAUAAGAAGAAACAAUUUAGAAGCAGAGGAUCUGGCUUCCCAUUUUUAGAAUCAGAGAAUGAAAAAAACGCACCUUGGAGAAAAAUUUUAACGUUUGAGCAAGCUGUUGCAAGAGGAUUUUUUAACUAUAUUGAAAAACUGAAGUAUGAACACCACCUGAAAGAAUCAUUGAAGCAAAUGAAUGUUGGUGAAGAUUUAGAAAAUGAAGAUUUUGACAGUCGUAGAUACAAAUUUUUGGAUGAUGAUGGAUCCAUUUCUCCUAUUGAGGAGUCAACAGCAGAGGAUGAGGAUGCAACACAUCUUGAAGAUAACGAAUGUGAUAUCAAAUUGGCAGGGGAUAGUUUCAUAGUAAGUUCUGAAUUCCCUGUAAGACUGAGUGUAUACUUAGAAGAAGAGGAUAUUACUGAAGAAGCUGCUUUGUCUAAAAAGAGAGCUACAAAAGCCAAAAAUACUGGACAGAGAGGCCUGAAAAUGUGACAGGAUCAUGAAUGUCAAAGGCUUUUAUCUUGAGAACAUGGUGUCUGGAGUUAAAGGACUAUUGUUAGAUCUGUGGGAAGGAAUUACAAGACAGUUGCUAAAAGUUUGAAAAAGACGGUUGCUAAACGUUAUGAAAAACCAGAUAAUCUACUUUUUUACCUUAGGUAUUGGCAUACUCCACACAUCUGUACCAUUCUUGAGUGAUCGCUUAGGAAUGAAUGUGAUUUGAACUCAUUCAUGUUGAGAGGGUGUCAAAUUGAGAACCAGGUAGAUCCCCACCACCUACAGUAAAAAGGACCCUAAAGUAAAUUGGUUGAAGAAAUUAGAUCCCAAAGAUUCUUGGUGAAUUUUGAAGUCUUCAUCAGUAUAUCCAUAUUAAAACGAGAUGACAGAAGCCAAAGUAAUUAUGGGCUGACAGGACAACUGGAUCAGUUUCAUUAAAAAGGGCAAACUUGAAGAUAAAUCUUUUGACUCCAGCUCUUUAGAGGAUCUAAAGUGACCUUGAUGGACAGUGGAAGAAAUCACAACAUGGAAUUCCUCGAAUAACAAUUUAUUGACUUUAAAUAAUUUUGUCUAAUGCUACAUAUACACAAUUAAAAAACCUUUACACUAUUUCUAGAAAGUCAGCAUGUAUUUUUGGCUCGAAGUUUCUCUAGUGUUUUCUGUGGAAGGAAUAAAAAUUUGAGUUUCAGUUGUGUA